GCUGGGUAUCAGGAGAUGUAAGUUAGUAGUGAGUGUGGGGUAGGGAAGUCUGAGCAUCUGCUUCAGAGGAGUGGACAAAGCCAGGCUCUGCCCACUGACAUUUCCAGGAGCAGUUUUUGCAAGCAGUGGUUUCCUGAACCCUAGUCCACAGAGAUGAAGUGUUUUCCAGCCCAUGCAGCCCAAGGUGAAGAAAGCCCUGGCUCCCUUCUCACUGCUUGAAGUCCAGAGGUUCAUUUCUGCUUGGCUCCAGGAGCUCCUGGCUCAG